AGAAGUAAAAAAUAAAAUUUUAAAAAAAUAUAAAACAAUUACAUACUAAUACUAUUAUACUAAAGACUACACAGUAAAAUUCUAAACACCGAUAUAUGUUCUGUCUUCUGUGCCCUAGACCCAAAAUUCCCAAAUCCUAUGUUCCUUCGCCGAUUGCCCAAGGCGAUUCCUCUCCCAGAUGCGACUACAAGCUCAGCGACAGCAACUCUUCACCAAAUUUUUCGUCUCUCCGGUGUCUACUACAGCGACUCCACCAAGUAUGAAGACUCGGUUCAUGAUACUCAUCAUACUUUAGAUGACUUGUAACUUUUAAGUUUCCAUUUCAUGCAAAUGUUAGCAUGAAAUGUCAUUUUGUAGCCUUAUAUGUCUAAACUUGUAUCUUUGAUUCCAUAUAUGUAAUGUGUACAUAAGUACACCUUUUACGAUGUAUUUGACUUGUGUGAGAUAAAGCCGGAGGCCAAUAACAUUUAUAUUGUAUCUUAUGUAAUUCUUGAUUUCAUGAAAUGUUAUAAAAAUAUUGAAAAA